UGAACCAGCACUAAGAACGUAUCAGAAACCAGAGAUUAUGAAUAAUCUAGUUUUGUAUACCUGAGGUCCAUA
rnacentral:snoRNA from 1 species